GACGAACCGUGCAAACGUUGUUCGGAAUCACUGGGCUUAAAGGGCGCGUAGGCGGGUGGCAAAGUCAGGGGUGAAAUCUUUCGGCUUAACCGGAAAAUAGCCUUUGAUACUGGCCGUCUCGAGCGAGGUAGGGGCAUGUGGAACUUCCGGUGGAGCGGUGAAAUGCGUUGAUAUCGGAAGGAACGCCGGUGGCGAAAGCGACGUGCUGGACCUCUUCUGACGCUGAUGCGCGAAAGCUAGGGGAGCAAACAGG
rnacentral:rRNA from 1 species